GCCUGAGUGGCUCAGUGGUUGAGCAUCUGCCUCUGGCUCAGGGGGUGAUUCUGGGAUGUGGGAUCGCAUCCCACAUCAGGCU
rnacentral:tRNA from 1 species